GGAGAAAAUCUGCGUAAAAAAUGGAGGAUGAAGGAUGGCGUUGGGAGAGAAGAAGGGGAAUGAAGAAUACGAGUGAAUUGACAAGUUUGCCCCUGCCAAACUCACGUGAUUUUCACAUGUCUAGUAUUCCGGCGGAAAUCACCGGAAAAUACCAUUUUUUGGGCAACGUGCAACAAAAACACAAGUUUAGGUAAAAACGUGCAAAAAAAAAUUGUUUGGGGGGCAAAGCGCAAAACAUGCCUUAGUUUAGGGGCAAACUGCUUUUUACUCAUAUAAAUAAUUCAAAC
rnacentral:lncRNA from 1 species